GAACGAACGGCUGGCGGCAGGCUUAACACAUGCAAGUCGAACGCCCCGCAAGGGGAGUGGCAGACGGGUGAGUAACGCGUGGGAACGUACCUUUCAGUUCGGAAUAACUCAGGGAAACUUGUGCUAAUACCGGAUACGCCCGCAAGGGGAAAGAUUUAUCGCUGAAAGAUCGGCCCGCGUUGGAUUAGCUAGUUGGUGGGUAAAGGCCUACCAAGGCGACGAUCCAUAGCUGGUCUGAGAGGAUGAUCAGCCACACUGGGACUGAGACACGGCCCAGACUCCUACGGGAGGCAGCAGUGGGGAAUAUUGGACAAUGGGCGCAAGCCUGAUCCAGCCAUGCCGCGUGUGUGAAGAAGGUCUUCGGAUUGUAAAGCACUUUAAGUUGGGAGGAAGGUCAGUAACCUAAUACGUUGCUGAUUUGACGUUACCGACAGAAUAAGCACCGGCUAACUCUGUG
rnacentral:rRNA from 1 species